CGGAGAUGAGAGAAUAAGGGGAGAGCCAAGACAAGCCAUUGCUAAUUGGAAAGGGAUGCGUCCUGAGCUGCCGCGAGUCCUGGGCGAAGAUCCCAGGUCGUUAUAAGGUGAGCUUGCUAGGGAAUUCAUUCUUGAUUCCGACCAUAUAACAAUGCAAUGCAUCAAUCUUUUGCUCGUCGUGCCUACCUGAUUUACAGCUUAUUAAUCAUCAAGACUUGAAGAUUCGCUCGGCCGAGCAUGUUCAGUGCAGUACUACUGUACUAGUAUGUGACCACAAUUUAUGCAACUCAGGGAAUCAGGAUCCAUUCAUACACCGAGAGCUCGAUGGAUCUGCUGCGUGUCUGGCCUCUCAUGAGGGGAAUCUUGUAGGCACUGAAACGCCACCGAUAUUAGCCGAUUGAUAUCCUGCGCCUCGUCGGUCUUGGGCGUGGGAAGACGGCGGUCGAGAUGCUCUUGAAGUAUCAUGUCUUGUUCUUGCGCAGCUGCAGGUCUGUUUAGUAAUUCUCCUGGAUGCUUCCCCAUCAGCACCUCCAGCAUCACAACGCCGAGGCUGUAGACAUCGCAUUUCUCCGUGACCAAGGGCGUGUAAGAAAGUUCUGCAUCAAGCAAGGCAGCAUAGUUACAAGGGAUUGUUUUUGAAGGAGCUACAAUUAACCAACAGUUUUCACUGGGGUAGUUUGAUUACCAGGUGCGAUGUAGCCGUAUGUCCCCGCCAGCGCGGUCCAGUUCGAUGAAUCGGGCUUCAAUAUCCUUGCCGUGCCAAAGUCCGAGACAAAGGCCUUGUAUUCAGAAUCUAGCAAAAUGUUGCUACUCGUUAUGUCCCGAUGGAUUAUAGGUGGAUCACAGCCAUGGUGUAGGUAGGAAAUAGCUUGCACAACAUCCUUGAUGAGAAUUGCUCUUUUCUGCCAAUCAACUUGGAUUGCUUGGUCAUUGUUGUUCAGGAUUGAGGCUAGACUCCCCCUUUCUAUGUAUUGGCAAACCAGGAACCUGUACUGCGUAUGGGAACAGAAUCCAUACAGCUUGACAAUGCUGCGCUGACGGACUUUUGUUAGUACUUCAAUCUCACGACGAAAGCAUUGCUCAUCAUGCAUCCCUUCCUCAAUAGGAUGAAGCUUCUUCACUGCAACCACUUGUCCAUCUGGGAGAUCCACCUUGUAGACAUUACCAAACCCCCCCCUCUCCAAUGCAAUGUUUUUCAUCAAAAUUAUCCGUUGCAUUGAUGAUAUCCUCAAAAGCUAUUUUACCAUCGAAGUUCCAUAUGGAGAAGAGGUCCCCUCUCUUUACAAUGGCACUUUCUCUAGAAGAGGAUUUCUUCCUCAAAAUCAAAACGAAGAAGAUGCAUGCAGCUAUACAAGUAAUAGCCACAAAAACAGGGACACCCACUUUUAACAUGAGGAUGUGGUCCUUUUUCUGAUGAUUUGCAGCAGAAGAAUGACAAGACGGAAGGCCAGCCAGCUCCCCGCAGAGACCUCUAUUGUGAACAAACCAUUCUGCCGAGGAAUUAUGGAUCCUUCCCGGAACUGUGCCUUGUAAUCUGUUGUAGGACACAUCAAAUACGGACAUGCUUCGGAGUCCUGCUACCGUGGCAGGAAUGCUUCCACUGAAUUGAUUGUGGGAGAGGUUUAUGCUUACCAACAUAUCUAGAUUUCCUAUUUCUGGAGGAAUGGCACCAUCUAGGUUGUUAUGGCUGACAUCAAGUGUUGUCUGUAGGCGAAUCAGUUUGCCUAUGGAACCAGGAAGGCUGCCGUUUAAGCUGUUGUUGUUCAGUUUCAUGGACUGUAGUCUCGCACAUUUCCCAACUUCUUCUGGUAUUCUUCCAUCUAGUUGAUUGCUUGACAGGUCGAGAACCUCAAGAACAUCCAUUUGACCAAUGUUUUGAGGAAUGCUUCCAGAUAGAUCAUUUUGGCUUAAGUCUAGCAAAUAUAGGUUGACUAGUUUGCCAAUUUCAGGAGGUAUCUCCCCUGUCAACCUAUUCAAAUGGAGGUCGAGUUUUCUGAGUUUGGUUAGCUUUGUGAGCUCAGGAGGUAUAUGACCAGUAAUCAUGUUUCCUCCUAAACGCAGUUCUGUCAAGUUACCGCAUGAACCCCAAUCUGUUGAAAGCUGACCGUGCAGUUUGUUUGAAGUUAACCCAACAAAUUUCAGAUGUGGGUACACCCCAAGCUGUUGUGCUAUAUCUCCAUCCAUCUGAUUGUACAUGAUGUCGAGGAUGACUAAGGAGCUGCAGUCCUUGAAACUUCCUGGAAAGGAUCCACUAAAUUGGUUGGUAGUUGCGGAAAACCAUUGGAGUUUUUUGCCCUGGCAUAAGUCAGGCACCUGUCCGCUGAGAUUGUUGUAACUCAACUCAAUGUCCACUAAAUUGGUGAGGUUUGAAAAUGUGUGAGGCAAAGGUCCAGACAGUCUAUUGCCUGACAGCCUCAAAUCUGUCAUUUCCCUGAAGUUUCCAAAGCUUGGAGGGACUGAGCCAGAGAACUUGUUGAAGUAGAGGUAAAGAUUCACUAAAUUCCCUAGAUUGCCUAGCUCAGCCGGGAUUGUGCCAGAAAAGCUAUUGUUUUGAAGGCGAAGGGAGGUGAGAGAAGUCAUGUUUCCUAUGCUAGAUGGCAGAUCACCAUCUAAAGCAUUGGAGGAGAGGCUAAGCUCCUGAAGGUUUGCAAGAUUCCCUAGCACAUAAGGAAUGGACCCAGACAAGUUGUUCUCGUAAAGGUACAGAUAUGUGAGCAUCGUCAAAUUUCCGAGACUCAGAGGAAUGCUCCCGGUAAGUUUAUUACCGAAAAGGUAGACCUCACGAAGAUCAGUGAGUGAUCCUAUUUGUUCAGGAAUGUGGCCACUUAAGUUGCUCCUGCUGGCUCCUAGCAGUUGCAACUUGGUUAAGUUUGUGAUUGCUGCAGGGAUAGUGGACGUGAAUUGAUUUUGUGAUAUCAUGAGCACGGUAAGAUUAUUAAGGUGUGUGAAUUCGUGAGGAAUGGAACCAAGAAGUAAGUUUUGGGAUAGUCCUAAGUAGCCUAGUUUAGUAAGGUUUCCAAUGCUGCUCGGAAUAGUACCGGUCAGAUAAUUAUCAGCUAAAUCUAGCUCUUCCAAAGCCGUGAGUCUCCCUAGCUCUAUGGGGAUCGAACCAGUAAGAUGGUUUGUGAACAGACUUAAAUCUCUGAGCAAAGUUAGGUUGGUGAGGGAAGGAGGAAUAAUUCCGGUUAAGUUGUUAUGGUAUAACCGGAGACUUUGCAAGGACUGAAGCCUGCCAAUGUUUGCAGGAAUGGUACCUGAGAGGCCAUUGAAGGAGAGGUCCAUCACGGUGAGGCUCCCCAGCUCUCCGAUGGCCGGAGGUAUGCCUCCGGUGAGCUGGUUACCGGAGAAGUUCAGCAUGGAAAGCAUGGGGAGCAUGCCGACGGUCGGUGGAAUCCCUCCUGAGAGGUGGAAGUUGUUGCUGAUGUCAAGGCUGGUGAGCAAGGACAGCGGCUGCAAGUUGAGCACGUCCAGCCGCCCGGCGAGUCCAGCUCCUCGGAGGGAGACCCCAGUGAUGGACGGGCCUUGAGCUGCACAGCGGCAGGUGAUGCCCGUCCAGUUGCAGGGGUGGACGCCGGGGCUCCAGGUGCUCAAGGCUGAACCGCUGCUGAUGCUUGUCAGGCUGGAUUUCCAUCGGAGCAGCGCUGCUGUCUGGGCUGUGAACCAAGUGCCUCGCCGUGCUGCGGCCUUUGCCUCACCGAACAUGGAAGGGAGAAGAAACAGGAUGGCGAGGAGAUGGAGCCAUGGACACCCUGAGGCACGAGUAGCCAUGGAUUCAACAAGUUCUGUCGGUGGUACUAUGUGGUAGAGGGGUGAGAGAAAGGCCACCGCUGCUCCGGAGCAUCCACGGCUUGGCUGACUUCAUGAUUAGGUAGGAACAUCCAGCGCGUUUUCCUGUGUGAUUGAAUAAAAAAAAUAGUAGUAGUUGCCAACGUCUCGGGCAUGUGUUCCCAUGUACCGCACUCAAGAGAAUAAAAUAAAGUCUUGGAGUGAUUAUUCUAGUUUGUGUUAGAAAUGGCUUAUAAUCAAUUGAGCGUGUUGUUGUCAUCCCUUUCGUUUCACUAUGAGCGCGUUAGCAACGAUUUAUAGUUAAUUAGGUGGUUUAUAAUUACAGUUUUACUAUUUUCAGGUGUCUGUUUUUAAAUUCGGCUCAGGCCGUUUUUCUGUCGUCGGAUUCACACGAAUCUCUGCGCGUUGGUUUGUCCUCAGUCCCCACGUACCAGGUCGUCCUGUCCCUUUUUUUAUUGCCGGUGGCGUGCGGCGGGUGCCCGGCAAGGAGCGCUUGAAUGCGGGAGGCGUGCUUCACAGGACCGCUGCAGGUACGGGAGAUGUUGGUCUGGAGAGGAGCUCGGCGGAGCUCUCCUGUCGUGCUCGCCACCAGCAAGCGCCCGUUGGUGUGCGAGGUAGUAGUCGCCGGCGCGGUGGGGCGCAAGUUAUUUCCCCCCCGUCUCCGUGCUGUUAUCGCUCUGCCCAAUUUGUCCUGUGUUGCUCGAUGUGAUAUGCCUCUCCCCGCGUUCGAUUCAGUUCAUCGUCAUGGUCGCCGGUCAUAGAGCUCGUCGCAGGUGUCGUUCAGUUAGUUGGUUGUUUUGGCCAGGAAUGUUUGUGAUAGCUUAGUUCAUCAGGAACGCUCCGGAAUUUUUUUUGCAGGCACCCAUCCACGCAAUUCAUCAGUUUAGUAAAUGGGAAUCCAUCAGUUUAGUAAAUGUUCAGUAUGUUUCUCAUUCUUUAGUCAUCCAGUCCUGAGAUUUUUGUUAUAUAUCAGCCUUCAAACAGUUUUUUUUCAGUUAUGAGUGUACUUCAUUAAUCAGUGUACUAUUUCAUUGUUGUUCAGUGUUGGGUCUUUUCUUUAUUUUCAGUCUUUCAGCUUUCAUUUGUUCAUUUUUUCAGUCAUUCUGAAAUGCAGCCUCCAAAAUCUUUGGCUCUCAUUUCAUUAAUGUUUCAUUUAGUUGAUCAGUGUGUGUUCUCUCUUCAGUUUCAGUAUUUCAGUUUUAGUAAUUGUUCAGAUCGUCGUCACAUCUUUUGUUAGUCUAAAUUCUGUAGCAUGUUCAUUAGUAUCAGUCAAUGUUCAGAUAGUUGAUUCAUCAGUCAAUGUUCAGAGAGCAUCAGUAAUAUCUUCAGUUCAUUCUAGUGUUUCUUCAGUCUUCUUUUUUGCUGUCUCCAGUGUCUCUUUUUUCUGAAAACUGAUGCUGGAAGUUCAUCUUAGCUAUACAUUGGCAUCAAGACCCAAGUGUAGUAUUUGUAACCAACUUCAGGAUUCCCAAGUAUUCAGUUUCAGGUUUAAGUUUUAGUAGUGUGGUAUUCGUACCCAAGUUCUUCAGGUUUCAGUUUCUUAACAAAGAGCGGCGUCAGUUUCUGUUUCCAGUAGGUGUCAUUUUCUUCAGUCCACAGUAGGUGUCAUUUUCAGGUUUCAGUAUGUGUCUUUUUCUGUUUUUCAUUUUAGUCAUGGACACUUAAUUAGGGUGUCACAUAGGCAGCACCCAUGCUAUUCAUUCCUGAAAGAAUAACAACACUGAUGUAUCUUUUUCAGACUCAUGUGUGUGGUUAGGAGCCAGUUUGAACCUAUUAAUUAAGUAAGCUAUCAGUUUAAUUUUUUUUAGUUUGUGCAUUAUAAUUGUUUUCUUAGUAUAUCCAGUGCAUGAUCAAUUAUCAGAAUUAUUCAUUCACUGAGGUUUCAUCCUGCUGGGUUCAGGUGUAUUUUUGUUGUGUAUUUUCUAAGACUUCUCAAUUUAAAUUCAGUCUUUGCAGGAAGGUGAUCACAUUUUUUCUUGAGUUCUUCUCUGCCAAGUAGAAUAUAGCAAGGACACAAGUAAGCCUUAUUCUGUUUCUCAAUCGAGCUAAAUUCUGCUGGCCUUUGUUACCUGAGAUGAUUCCCCUUGGGGCGGCUCCAGGCAGCUGUGCUUCAGUUUUUAUGAUUUCAGUCUUGUUUCAUUUAGUUGAUCAGUAUCCCAACAUCUGUCUUGUGGUUGAGUCACUUAUUUUAGUCUGUAGUUGAUUCACUCAUUUAAGCUUGGGCAAAAAGAGCUUCACUAGGACCGAGUACAACACUGCACCCGAUGGUCGGAUCUUCUUCAAGCAUGGACGGAAGAAGUUUCUUACGAGGACUGGACUUGAGGUUGGAGCGGAUGUGUUAAUAACAUGCAAGACAAAGGUCGGCAAUGAGCUCGAGAUGAUUGUUCUUAGUCUAUUGUUCAAUCAAUGUUUAUUAUUAUCAGUCAUUUUCUUAUAAUAGUUGACUCACCAGUCAAUGUUCAGAGAGCAGGCAUCAUUGUUCUAUUUAUCAUUCAUGAGUUUUACUCAUCGUUCAGCCUUUCAGAUGAUAUUAUCUUCUUUGUUAUCUUUUCAUUUUCUUUUCUUUAUUCCUUUUGGCCCAAGCAUGAGUUAGGUAAGUAGAAAGUCCUUCAUUAUAUGUCCAUCUUCCUACUCCCUUUAGUUUCCCCAGAUAUUUCCGUUUCUUUUCUCUGAUUUUUGUUUAGUGGCUUUUGUCAGUGGCACAAGUUUACUUCUAAAGCUUGUUUUGUGAUAUGCAUGUAUCCUUAGCGAUGAUUACAUACAUUUCUUAGUAGCUGUUUGCUCCAUCUUUGGUUUCCCGCAUACACCCGGCGCUUAUUCUUUCUUUUAUUGAGUGAAUAACCCUCAGUGUUUGAGUAUCUCUCAAUUAUUCAGGAAAGAACAAGGUAUUAUCAG
rnacentral:lncRNA from 1 species